UACAGAGGUCUCAAGCGUUGUUCGGAUUCAUUGGGCGUAAAGGGUGCGUAGGCGGCGCGCUAAGUCGGGUGUGAAAUUUCGGAGCUUAACUUCGAAACUGCAUUCGAUACUGGCGUGCUUGAGGACUGGAGAGGAGACUGGAAUUUACGGUGUAGCAGUGAAAUGCGUAGAUAUCGUAAGGAAGACCAGUGGCGAAGGCGGGUCUCUGGACAGUUCCUGACGCUGAGACACGAAGGCCAGGGGAGCAAACGGG
rnacentral:rRNA from 1 species